AAAAAGGACCGAAAACGAGCAAAGCAUGGAAAAACACCAAAAGUCAAAAAAUCCUCAUAUGAAAUCCAGAGGACUGCUACGGCCACCCGUAGCAGAUGCUACGUGUAACACCCUAAACCCCGAAACUUAUAUAAAAAAGCAUUACUCGACAAUUUAAGGUGUCACCAACGACAACCAAACUGUAAUUUGAAAAAAAAUAUUAUCUACAUGCAGUAGAAAAUCAUAACAAAACAAUUUCAAU
rnacentral:lncRNA from 1 species